UGCUGCUCCGGGGUUAUGUAGCCAGAACUUUCCGAUUGCCAUUUAGACUGCUCCAAGGGCCCUGAGCUAGGGACAGAAAAAAGCCAUUCCGGUUCCCCCAACGGGCUGGUGCUAAAAACACAAACUAUCAGUCUAAUUCCUGAGGUCACAAGCCAGCGCUCAGUGAAGAAAAAGUCAUCUCCUCCCUUUCACCAAGCUCUCAAUAAACAACUCAUUGUCUAUAGCAGGUUUAGAAAAUCCUGUCUGGAUUUGGAAUCUGGCCCAAUUUGCCUCACAUGGAUCGGGUCGCGGAAAGAGCACUGCUCAGAGGAUCUGAUAAAGGGAGCUGUGCUCCUGAUUCCGACCCUUGCUGCCCGCGUGCCUGUGGACAAGCCCCAGCGGGAGACGCAAGGACUUCUGGACAGGUACAGAGCGAGGUGGUGGCCACACGGGCAAGGCAGAGGUGCUGCUGGCUCUCUAGGUGCGCGUGUGGAGCGGACGCCCCCCACGAAGAGUGCCAUCCCUGCAGAGUCUGGUUUCCCGCUUUGCCGAUUCAGGUAUUUGCUCUGUCCGGUUCCUUGUUAUUGACAGUCUGCUGCAUUACCCGAGAGCGUGCUAGAAAUGCGGGCCCUGGGGCCCCACCCCACACCGAUGCAACCAGAAUCUGUAUGCCCGUUCGAGAGUUGUAUUCAGCGUGA
rnacentral:lncRNA from 1 species